rnacentral:rRNA from 1 species
UGAGGAAUAUUGGACAAUGCCCGCAAGGGUGACCCAGCAACGCCGCGUGGAGGAUGAAUGUCGUAAGAUUGUAAACUCCUGUUAGAGGGGAAGAAUAGUACCGGUUGGACCGGUAUAUGACUGUACCCUCAGAGAAAGCCCCGGCUAACUACGUGCCAGCAGCCGCGGUAAUACGGAGGGUGCAAGCGUUAUCCGGAAUCACUGGGCGUAAAGGGCGCGUAGGCGGUCUGUUAAGUCCGAUGUUAAAUCCCGGGGCUCAACCCCGGAUAAGCGUUGGAUACUGGCAUGCUAGACGGUUGGAGAGGCGAGUGGAAUUACCAGUGUAGCGGUGGAAUGCGUAGAUACUGGUAGGAACACCCAUUGCGAAGGCAGCUCGCUGGACAACACGUGACGCUGAGGCGCGAAAGUGUGGGGAGCAAACC